AUUGAACGCUGGCGGCAGGCUUAACACAUGCAAGUCGAGCGGGGUGAUGGUGCUUGCACUAUCACUUAGCGGCGGACGGGUGAGUAAUGCUUAGGAAUCUGCCUAUUAGUGGGGGACAACAUCUCGAAAGGGAUGCUAAUACCGCAUACGUCCUACGGGAGAAAGCAGGGGAUCACUUGUGACCUUGCGCUAAUAGAUGAGCCUAAGUCGGAUUAGCUAGUUGGUGGGGUAAAGGCCUACCAAGGCGACGAUCUGUAGCGGGUCUGAGAGGAUGAUCCUCCACACUGGGACUGAGAAACGGCCCAGACUCCUACGGGAGGCAGCAGUGGGGAAUAUUGGACAAUGGGGGGAACCCUGAUCCAGCCAUGCCGCGUGUGUGAAGAAGGCCUUAUGGUUGUAAAGCACUUUAAGCGAGGAGGAGGCUCUUUUGGUUAAUACCCAAGAUGAGUGGACGUUACUCGCAGAAUAAGCACCGGCUAACUCUGUGCCAGCCGCCGCGGUAA
rnacentral:rRNA from 1 species